GACCUUUUUACGGUGUAUCGGAUUCCCAAACAAAAAGGAAAUCCAUGGGCCCACCUGUCCCCACCCACAAGGCGGCAAAAUAACGUGGGUUGGAUGGUAACGUCCAGCUCAUGAAUCACCAACCACAACGCCCCAUAUGAACCGUCCAUCUCAAAGAUGAGGAGUCAAAUCCCAUACGUCCAUCGCAUCUCUUAUCCCAUUAUAAAAGUACGUUAGGGUGCCUGGCUCUCAACCAUUCAAAGUUUCAACGCCACCAAUCUUCUCUCUCUUCACGACUCUAUGCAUCUCCUCCUUAUUUCUUCUGCAGAUCUACUCUGCAUGGAUCGUUCUCUCUGUCUAAUUCUUGCGGAUUCGCGUAGAUCGCAUCGAGAUCUACGCGUUGAUGGUCGUUUGAGAUUGUUAGGAUGAUUUGAUAUGCUUUUGCACUUCAGCCGGUUAAACCGGCUUGCGUCUGUGUCUUCGAUUCCAAAUUCACAGAUGUAGCUACGGAGCUCUUGCACAAUCUAUGGAGGUUUGAAUCCUUAUGUUUCCGAGCUUGAUUCGAUGGCGUUGUGAAUGCUACAAUUGUAAUUUGAGUCUUAUGAAGGCUGAAGGUGCUCUAAACCGAAUCGAUGGCUAUGUGAAUGCUACAAUUGUAAUUUGAUGAUUGGGAAUCUGAGAGAUGGGGGUUUAUGGGGUUAAUUGGGUUCGCAUCGGAUGUAUGAGAUGUCGGGACGAAAGGCUCGGUGGAAGAGCCGAGUCCUGGACCGAUCUUUGUCAUCCGGCCUUUGCCAUGGCAGGUGCGCUUGCAUGGCAGGUCAUAAAAAUCUCAAUAAAAAAAGUAACAUGUUUUGGUUUGGAGUGGAGACAGCAUGGGGAUUUUUUGGCCCAGGGUCUCUCCUCCGGUGUGUGGUGUGCCA